rnacentral:rRNA from 1 species
CGGACGGGUGAGUAACGCGUGGGUAACGUGCCUUGUACUGGGGGGACAACAGUUAGAAAUGACUGCUAAUACCGCAUAAGCGCACAGUAUCGCAUGAUACAGUGUGAAAAACUACCGGUGGUACAAGAUGGACCCGCGUCUGAUUAGCUAGUUGGUAAGGUAAGGGCUUACCAAGGCGACGAUCAGUAGCCGACCUGAGAGGGUGACCGGCCACAUUGGGACUGAGACACGGCCCAA